AACUUUAGCAACCUUUUCCUAAGGCCCAAAAUCCCUUACCCUAAAUCGACGCAGCUUUAUUCUACUACUUCAACCCAAUUUCCCUCUAUAACUUGGCCCAAAUGUUACAAUAUUUCCUCCCAGACCACACCCUCUGACCCAACCUUUUUUCUAUUCAACAAAUAGAGGUCAGAAGCGUUAAUGAAAGCAAUUCUACGAGCCUCACACAAGGACACAUGCAGGAGAGUUCAGAGAAGAAGCGGCGACGCGCGAAGCAGCGCCAAACGACAUCCGUCUCCAAGCGUCAAUUUGACAGAAAUUAAUGUUUUAACGUUUCUUUCUCCAGCCCCAUAUAGCCCUCCUAUAACUCUUUUGGUUGUGGUAGACUACAGGUUCGUCUUUUUCAGCUUCAUUUCGUCCUUGCUCGCCUCAGUAUCGAGACACGUCAGGCAGCAAGGAUACAGAGAUCGAUAUCAGCCGUAUAUUCUACCUUUCCUUCUCCGGAAAUGAUUUGAAGAUUUCAGGAAAAAGGUUUUUAGCCUAAAUGGUGAAAGUUUUAGGGGUUUUGAAUUUCGAAUUGGGUCUUCCCUCUUAAAAGUUUUUGAUAGUUUUCCCCCAUUUCUGAACCCUAAAUCCCUCCUAUAUAUAUUCCCUUUCCUUCACAGAAGAGUGGGCUUUUUGUUAGGAUGAUUUUGUGGUAGAGGAAGAGGGAAAACAGGGAGAUUUUUGGUUUGAAAAUUAGUGUGAGAAAAGGUUGAAAACUUGUAUUGAUUUCCUUUUGGUUGGAAACUUUUUUUAAGUAAAACACAAAGCUAUUGGGAACUCAUAGUGACACUCGAAAAUACAUCUCUGAAUAAGAGAACCUCUCGGAUUUUUUCCCAAUUUCCUUUGGUUGCAAUCCGCAUUUGGCGUUUGGCCUGGUGAAGUUGUUGCUCUGCUUGAUCCAACUCCCGUUUCGCUGCACCCUAAAAGGGUACAGACGCUAGUUCAUUGAAUAGUUAUUUUCUCGUAAUGGACAAUAGAAAAAUAUCAUAGAGCUUGUAUUAAAUAGUGUUGUUAUUAUAUUUGAUGUGGAUCCCGCUUUGUUUAGUUGUUGUUUAAGAGCAUCAGUAACUCCUUUCGAUUUAAUGUUGUUAUUUUUCAUGCAAGUUUUUAUUUAUUUAUUUUUUUAGCACUUUGAUUGCAAAGUUGACAAACUUGGCAUUUGCUCUGAGAGUUAAUAACUUACUAUUCUUCAGUAAUUUGGGUAUCAUACUAAGAUGUUGAAUCCUAUCAUCUUUUAAUUUUUGCCUUUGUUUGGUUGCAUGUAAAUCUGUCCAAAGUUUUUCAUGGACUCCAAUCUUUCUCUUGCAUUUUGGGAGAUCCAUAAAGGCUUAAAAACCUUUCUUUCCGAGUCAACCAGCUACAAAACCGGUGAAGAGGUCCCGAAAGGAAGGUUGAAAGUCAUAGAGUGUAAGAAAUUGGACCAUAGAGUCCAAAUUUUUUUUGGAGUGUUAUAUUUCGUUAUCUUUGGUCCUAAGCCUUGUCAUUUUUUUCUAUACUUAUUAUUUAUUAAUCGUCUGAUUAGUUCAGGACAUGUACAAGACAGAAAGUGUCGAAACACUAGUCCAAACAGAAAGAAAUCGGAUUUGACCCAA